rnacentral:rRNA from 1 species
UACGUAGGGUGCGAGCGUUAAUCGGAAUUACUGGGCGUAAAGCGUGCGCAGGCGGUUCGUUGUGUCGGUGGUGAAAUCCCCGGCUUAACCUGGGAAUGGCCAUGGAAACUGGCGAACUGGAGUGUGGCAGAGGGGGGUGGAAUUCCGCGUGUAGCAGUGAAAUGCGUAGAGAUGCGGAGGAACACCGAUGGCGAAGGCAGCCCCCCUGGGCUAGCACUGACGCUCAGGCACGAAAGCGUGGGGAGCAAACAGG